rnacentral:rRNA from 1 species
AGUGAACGCUGGCGGUAGGCCUAACACAUGCAAGUCGAACGGCAGCACAGUAAGAGCUUGCUCUUACGGGUGGCGAGUGGCGGACGGGUGAGGAAUACAUCGGCAUCUACUUUUUCGUGGGGGAUAACGUAGGGAAACUUACGCUAAUACCGCAUACGACCUACGGGUGAAAGCAGGGGAUCUUCGGACCUUGCGCGAUUGAAUGAGCCGAUGUCGGAUUAGCUAGUUGGCGGGGUAAAGGCCCACCAAGGCGACGAUCCGUAGCUGGUCUGAGAGGAUGAUCAGCCACACUGGAACUGAGACACGGUCCAGACUCCUACGGGAGGCAGCAGUGGGGAAUAUUGGACAAGGGGCGCAAGCCUGAUCCAGCCAUACCGCGUGGGUGAAGAAGGCCUUCGGGUUGUAAAGCCCUUUUGUUGGGAAAGAAAAGCAGCAGGUUAAUACCCCGCUGUUCUGACGGUACCCAAAGAAUAAGCACCGGCUAACUUCGUG